CCUGCCCUAGAGGAAUUGCAGGUGUGGCUGAUAUGUUUGUUACAUGUGCCUAAGUGGGUAGCAGAAAGGAGGGAGGCCAUGUCUAUGCCCAGUGUUCUGAACUAUAAACAUUGAAUGAUCAGUAGCCCAACAUC